CCUGGUUGAUCCUGCCAGUAGUCAUAUGCUUGUCUCAAAGAUUAAGCCAUGCAUGUCUAAGUCCAAGCUGUGUUUACACGGCGAGACCGCGGACGGCUCAUUAAAUCAGUCGUGGUCCAAAUGGGCCAGUAUCCUUUUACUUGGAUAACUGUGGUAAUUCCAGAGCUAAUACAUGCAACUGAUACUCUGAUGGCUGGGAGAGUUUAUCGAUCCCUCCUGACGAGUGCUUUUAUUAGACCAAACUGCUGGGAGGUGCCUCACGGCACCUCGACUCGCUAUGUGGUGACUCUGGAUAACCAAUGCUGACAAGCGCACGUACCUUCUCUACGAGUCGGACGGCGCUGCCACUUUCGAGUGUCUGCCUUAUCAGCUUUCAACCGCUCGCUACACGCGACCGAUGGCUUUGACGGGUAACGGGGAAUCAGGGUUCGAUUCCGGAGAGGCAGCCUGAGAAACGGCUACCACGUCCAAGGACGGCAGCAGGCACGCAAAUUACCCAAUCCCAGCACCUGGGGGAGGUAGUGACGAAACCUAACGAUGCGGGCGCCCAUUACGGGCCCCGCAAUCGGAAUGAGCACUUUCUAAACAACCUGUUGAGAACCUACUGAAGGGCAAGUCUGGUGCCAGCAGCCGCGGUAAUUCCAGCUUCAGUAGCAUCUAUUAAAGUUGCUGCGGUUAAAAGGCUCGCAGUUGAAUGUCAGUGCCGGGUGUUGGUAGGUGGACGUUGGGGUGUGGGAUUCCGGCGGUUGGCUCACGCUAGCCGUCUCUCAUAAGCUCCCGUCCGUGACAAGCCUCCACGCCUGUGUACACAAUGGUGUCAAUCUGUGGCGGAGUGUUGUGCUCGCCUCUCUUUACGGGGAGGAGUUCUACUCUCUUCACCACUCUGGCACCAACGUCACCCUGAGUAAAUCAGAGUGCUCAAAGCAGUCGUAACGGGCGCAAGCCCUGUGAACAUACAGUCCUCGUGACAGGGACGGUCUUGGUUUUGCAUGGCAUGUCGGAAUACGACGACGGGCGCUGGCUAAGAGUCUAUAUCUUACAGUGGUACAAGCCAGCCCCGUCGUACUGAUUAAAAGGGCUUGUCGAGGGCAUUAGUAUUGCGGAGCGAGAGGUGAAAUUCUAUGACCUCCGCAAGACUUCCUGAAGCGAAAGCGUCUGCCAAGGAUGUUUUCAUUAAUCAUGAACGAAAGUUAGAGGAUCGAAGGCGAUCAGAUACCGCCCUAGUUCUAACCCUAAACGAUGCCAACCAUCAAUCCGCGCGUAGCACCCUUUUGUACGGGCUCGGCGGGCAGCUCCUUUUCACGGGAAACCAGAGUCUCUGGGUUCCGGGGGGAGUCUGGUUGCAAAGCUGAAACUUAAAGGAAUUGACGGAAAGGCACCACCAGGCGUGGAGCUUGCGGCUUAAUUUGACUCAACACGGGCAAUCUCACCAGGCCAGCACUCUAGCAUGAUUGACAGAUUGAGAGCUCUUUCUCGAUUCAGUGGAUGGUGGUGCAUGGCCGUUCUUAGUUGGUGGAGUGAUCUGUCUGGUUAAUUCCGAUAACGAACGAGACUCUCCCCUGCUAACUAGUCGGUUGGAUCUUGAUAUGCGAGUCGUGCCCUGCGUUGGUAGACGGCGGGGGUAGUUUGUGUUGUGUGGCGUUGGCGGUUUCGAUCGUCUUCGCAGCAGCGCUGCUCUCCUGGCCUUGCCUUCUUGUAGGUAGUGCACUCCAAGUCCGCCGCUGUGUCUUAGAAUUCUUCUUAGAGGGAUCAACGGCUCUGAAGCCGUCAGAGACUGAGAGCAAUAACAGGUCUGUGAUGCCCUUAGAUGCUCUGGGCCGCACGCGUGCUACAAUGCCGGGCACAGCAGGUGUUACCUCCUGUUCCGAGAGGAACGGGCAACCCUCUGAAAGCCCUUCAGCAUUUCUCUUGUUCCAGUCACUCACGUGCGCUGGACAAGAGCGGCGUGCUUGGGCCUGGGGCUUGCAAUUAUUCCCCACAAACGAGGAAUGCCUAGUAGCGGUAGGUCACUGAGCCUGCCGUGACUGAGUCCCUGCCCUUUGUACACACCGCCCGUCGCUACUACCGAUUGGGUGUACCAGUGAGAGCCUUGGACUGGCGGCCGUUGCUCUAUUCUUCGGAGUGAGCAAACGGAUAUCGACUGAAAGAGGUCCGAACUGGUGCACUUAGAGGAAGUAAAAGUCGUAACAAGGUUUCCGUAGUGAACCUGCGGAAGG
rnacentral:rRNA from 1 species